rnacentral:rRNA from 1 species
GACGAACGCUGGCGGCGUGCCUAAUACAUGCAAGUCGAGCGGACGGAUGGGAGCUUGCUCCCAGACCGUCAGCGGCGGACGGGUGAGUAACCCGUGGGCAACCUGCCUGUAAGACUGGGAUAACUCCGGGAAACCGGGGCUAAUACCGGAUAACUCUUUCCCUCACAUGAGGGAAAGCUGAAAGAUGGCAUCUCGCUAUCACUUACAGAUGGGCCCGCGGCGCAUUAGCUAGUUGGUGAGGUAACGGCUCACCAAGGCGACGAUGCGUAGCCGACCUGAGAGGGUGAUCGGCCACACUGGGACUGAGACACGGCCCAGACUCCUACGGGAGGCAGCAGUAGGGAAUCUUCCGCAAUGGACGAAAGUCUGACGGAGCAACGCCGCGUGAGUGAUGAAGGUUUUCGGAUCGUAAAACUCUGUUGUCAGGGAAGAACAAGUACCGGAGUAACUGCCGGUACCUUGACGGUACCUGACCAGAAAGCCACGGCUAACUACGUG